rnacentral:misc_RNA from 1 species
GGAAGGUGAGGUGGUGAUGGAUGAGCAUGUGAUUUUAUGAAUUGGAUUCGCUUUCUGUGUAAAAAGCUGAGGAUUCUCUUUGUCUUCUCGCUUGGGUUUGUUUCCCAUUUUUAAUAAUUUCAUGGGAAAGGAAGAUCUAAAACCAUUCUGAGACAGAAUUCGUGUCUGAUUUUCCUGGAAAAGUUCCCUGAUUUUGCUGCAACAUUUCUGUUUCUCGCAUCCCCAGAAGCUAAAUUUGGUCUUUUGGUCUGUCUUUCUCUCUGGGUAUCUGAUUUUUAGUGUUUAUUUUUUGUAAAUGAAAUAAUGUUUGUUUGUAAUCUCUCUGUCUAGCUGUUUGUGUAAUUUGUUCUGUUUGUUUCAAGCUCGUUUGCUAAUUAGAUCUCCAUUUUGAC